UACGUAGGGGGCAAGCGUUGUCCGGAAUCAUUGGGCGUAAAGAGCGUGUAGGCGGCUCGGUAAGUCCGCUGUAAAAGUCAAAGGCUCAACCUUUGAAUGUCAGUGGAUACUGCCGGGCUAGAGUCCGGAAGAGGCGAGUGGAACUCCUGGUGUAGCGGUGGAAUGCGCAGAUAUCAGGAAGAACACCAACGGCGAAGGCAGCUCGCUGGGACGGUACUGACGCUGAGACGCGAAAGCGUGGGGAGCGAACGGG
rnacentral:rRNA from 1 species